UACGAAGGGGGCUAGCGUUGUUCGGAAUUACUGGGCGUAAAGCGCGCGCAGGCGGUCCUUCAAGUCAGAGGUGAAAGCCCAGAGCUCAACUCUGGAAUGGCCUUUGAGACUAGAGGACUUGGGUACGGGAGAGGUGAGUGGAAUUCCGAGUGUAGAGGUGAAAUUCGUAGAUAUUCGGAAGAACACCAGUGGCGAAGGCGGCUCACUGGCCCGUUACCGACGCUCAGGCGCGACAGCGUGGGGAGCAAACAGGGAUUAGAAA
rnacentral:rRNA from 1 species